rnacentral:SRP_RNA from 1 species
GCCAGGUGUGGUGGCACACACCUGUAUUCCCAGCUACUUGGGAGGCUGAGGUGGGAGGAUCACUUGAGCCCAGGAGGUGCAGGCUGAAGUGAGUGGUGAUGGUGCCACUGCACUCCAGCCUGGGUGACAGAGUGAGACCCCGUCUCAC